GUCUAAAAACAAAUUUAAGUACCAAGUUUCAUCCCAAUAGACUGAGGAAGAAGGCGGGCAGACUCAACUCGAGUAAAAAAAUGCUUAAACUAUACACAAGAUACAUUUCGUUCAGUCCAAUACUUAGCAUAUUUUUAGGCAUAGCAAAAAAUCUAUCUAUUUUUCAAUCAAAAAUAGCGAAAAUAGGCUCAUAACUUCAGGUUGAUUAUUAUCGAAGUCUAAUUAAUCGAAGUCUAAUCGAUCUUUAAGUGACAUCUUAAACUAGUGACAUAAAAUUCGUUCAACAGUUUACCAGGUCAAUAACAAUAACCCGAAUGCUCGUUGUUCAGUUUCCUAAAUGACUUCGACAACUCAUUUAUCGAUUUCUGUCACUUUUGCUUAGUAGUUGAAGAGAAAGCUUUGAAAAUAACUUCUAGUGGAUAGAGUCUACAUCAAUCCAAGGAGUCUACAGUCUGGAGUCUGGAGUCUGGAGUUUACAUCAAUCCAAGGCACAAUGAAACUAUCAAACGGGGCUGAACAUAGCAAGCAGUUGAUGACAAGAUUAAAAGAUAAACGGCAAAGGACAAUUGUUCUAUUGGAUCAGAUUGAAAGUGAUUUCAAUGAAUGGCAAAAUAUACUUCUGACGACUGAGGGAUUUUGUCGUCUUAUCCUAGGAAAUGAAUUGGUUCAUAUACAAUUUCCCGAUGAAACACAAGGCAUUAUUACCGAUAUAUUUACUGGUUUAGGUAAAAUAAUUGCCAGAAAGGAGUCACUAAAAACGGAUAUACGGCAUUACGAAAUGGAUAUUCAUUUUUUGAAAUCACAAAAAAAUAAAUACUAUUGAUCAAACUUUUGGUCAUAUGUAUGUAUAUUUUUGCUGAGCUAAGGUGAAAUAAUCGAAUAAUUGAUAAAUUCGAAGGAACUAACUUACUAAUAACUCCUAGUGCCUUUUAGGUCCUUGAACAACUAAAAUACGAUGCUUCUAUCGAAGAGUCUUUAUUGUAAAACUCAAAAUCUUGUUCUAAACAAACGCUUAUUGCUUUAAAUCGUUAUAUCGUUACUUAGAUCGUUAUAAACAAAGGAAAAGCACAAACUGAA